AAAGGAGCCAAGUAAACCGGGAGAAAAAGUACAAAAAAAAGCAAGGGCAUUGACUGCAACAAUAUGGCAAAGCAAAAAAUUCAGAGCAACACAGUGAGACAAUAUAAAAGCUAACAAAACCUAAGGGGAGAGCAUGGAGGGAAAAAAAAAGUAAACCAGAGUGAAAGUCAAGAAGCAAGUUUGAAAGUAGGGCAAAGUAAAGCAAUGCCCGAAAACCAAGAGCCAAGGAACAGAAUGAACAACCAAAAGGAAAGCAAACCAGAAAAAACAAACAAAGAUGAAAUGAACAAAGCAGAGCAAAGGAAAAGGAGCAAUAGAGAAAGCAAAACCAAGUAGAAAAAAGAAAGCAAACCAAUGUGACCAAUGGAAAAACAGACAAUGAAGGGAAAGACAAAGAACCAAAGCCCACCAACAGAACAGCAAAGCAAUCGGAUUCAAUGAGACAGAAAAGCAAAGGUGACAAGAGACUGCGGUGCCGGCAAAAACUCACCAUCCGUGCCUGGGAGGAGGACAGGGUAGCUACUGGGCAUGCUGCCACCCCCAGCAGAGAUGCACGUCCUCAGCUGAUGCCCGUGGAGGAGUCUGCGGCUGCAAGCAGGACAAAACAUCUCUCUGGAGGAAGGGAAAGCGCUGGUGGUCAUGCCGAGGAGGAGGUCAGGGUAGCUACCGGGCACGGAUGCUGCCAGGCAUCUGAAGAAACGCCUCAAGUCCACAUUGAGGACAGAGGCAAGGACAGGGAGGAUGUAAGAAUGAACAAUCCAGAAGGCUAACGUCAGGUAAGUAAAGGCAAGGUAAGAGGAAGGAAGCAGCCAUGGGGACAAGGAAGGAGGAAGAACGUAAUGAAAGCAAAAGGAAAAGAUGAGAACAGAGAAGGCAUACUUUCAGAAUGCAAAGGCAUGGUCUGGCAAGAAAAAGAACCAACCAAAAAGAAAAAUAAGCACUAGAAAGCAAAGCCAAAGGAGCAGGAAACAAAAGCCAAA